ensembl:lncRNA
ACUACAAGUAGGCUAGGUUAGCAUGGAACAGCUAACCAGUCUCUGGACUACAAGUAGGCUAGGUUAGCAUGGAACAGCUAACCAGUCUCUGGACUACAAGUAGGCUAGGUUAGCAUGGAACAGCUAACCAGAACCAGAGAACAUAGAGCAGUCACCCAUCUCCUUGAGAUGACGUAGAACCAGAGAACAUAGAGCAGUCACCCAGCUCCUUGAGAUGACGUAGAACCAGAGAACAUAGAGCAGUCACUCAGCGCCUGUCGGACGUACCUCAGAGAAACAGCGGGGGCCGGUGGGGUUAGGUGGAGGAGCUCCGUCUGCUGCCCAGAAACCUGAACCACCACCCACAGAAGAUUAGUUAGGAGGAGAAGGCGUGAGGUGGAGGAGGAGGGGUUAGGAGGAGGAGGGAGGUGGAGGAGGAGUUAGGAGGAGGUUGGAGGUGGUGGAGGAGGAGUUAGGAGGAGGUGGGGCAUGGUGGAGGAGGAGUUAGGAGGAAAAUGCUGCGUUUGAGUAUUCUCUGCAAACCGUCGUUGAAGGAAAACAUGGCGCCACCCGGAAAGCUGUUGUCGCGUUAGCAUUGGCAGAGGACCAGGCGCUCCAAAAUAAGUAGGCUAUAGGCCAUAGGCAGAGAUACGGACGCAGUAAGGUAUUGCAGUAAUACGAGUGAUUGAAAUUGCCAUUUAAACCACCAAAGUGGUCCAAGCACAAUGAAAACAGUUCAUACUUCAAGUCACACUGGGUGCAGCCAUCUUGAAUUCUGUCUCGGAAUUUUGCUCGGUCACCACUGAGUUCAACCGAGAUGGCGAGUUCGCCGUCCGAGGAAAAGGGGCGUGUUUGUGCGUGUCUCUAGGCAACAUCCUCGGACCUCUGAGAAGGAUGGAUAAUAAAACUCAGCAAAAGAUGGGAGGUGGUGGAGGGGGAGUUAAGGAGUGGUGAAGGAGGAGUUAGGGGGUGAUGUAGGAGGAGUUAGGAGGAGGAGGAGGUGGAGGAGGAGUUAGGAGGUAGAGGAGGAGAGGUGGAUUUUGAAGGAGAGAAAACUCAGAGGGGAGUCUGUCGACAAAGUCUGCAAAGUGUUUGUCCUGAGAGUAAAACUCAUGCAUCCGCACUCGCUCCUAAAGUGAGAGAGAGAGAGAGAGGGG